CAGCACACACUCAGUGCCACCCACAGGUACACCACUGGGAGGAGAAUCUCUAACAGCACACACUCAGCUGCACCUCUGUUAGUUUUCGGGUUGACGGUACGACGUACUGACGUCAAGAAACAGCUCUGCAUGUGUGUGAAGUCCAGCUAGACAGCACCUGGUGCAAACAAAAGAUGAUUUCCUGAAUUCUGAUCUCGCUGGAGCAUCCCUAAUAAAAUAAAAUCUAAAAGAGAAAAGAAAGAAGUGGGAUCCACAGCACACUACUGAGUCCUCACCAGAGAAGCUUCUUCCUCAAAACAAAAUAAACGAAAAAAUCAUUUGCUUUUAUUGUUAUGUCUUUUGCCUGCAUGAACAUAAUGAUAGCAUUUGUGGACAAUCCCCUCAGAGGACAGAAGAGGGCGCUGUCCCUUGAAACUGGAAUUAGACAAUUGUGAGAAAGUAUGUGUGUACUAGGAAUCAAAUCAGGGUCCUUAGCAAGAGCAACAAGUGCCCUUUAAUGCUGAAGCAUCUCUCCAGCCCCAGAAUUUUCUUGCAAAAAGAUGGCAACUAGUACAGAGAGCCACGGCUGGUCAGUGAGCAGAAAAUAAGAGAUGCUUGCACAUUCGGCCUUAAACAGGAAAUUGAUAUUAUACCUUUUCUUCAAGCCUUAGAGAUCUACAUGGAAGGGCGCCAAAAAGAGCAUAAGAACCAGAGCUUGUGGAUGACUUCAAGGUGGUACUGUCUAUGUGUGAGUUUUAUGGUUUAAAUGGUAUAGUUCCAUCAUGAAGUCAGUUAUACUAAGGUUUGGGGGUCUGAUAACAUCUGGAGCCCUAUCACAGCCCCAGAUGCAGACAGCCAAUAAAUUAGACUCAAUGGGAGAGAGAAAGCGAGAGGCAGACAAAGACAGAGAGAACAUAAAGUUGGAUAUAAUCAGAGAUUUUUCCCCAGCUCACCAGAUCCCGAAUAAGCACUCAGAGGUUUGAUAUUAAUUACAAACUGUUUAACCUAUUAGCUUAGGCUUAUUAUUAAAUUAACUAGCUGACAAAGAUUUUCUUCUGUUCCGUCUCCUCACUCAAUUACCUGUGUCCUUUGCUGUACAGAAAUUCACGAGGUCCUAUUUAUCAGUUGUUGGCCUUAUUUCCCGAAUGACUAGAUUCCUGUUCAGAAAUCCUCACCUGGACCUCUGUCUUGGAGAGUUGCUCAUACUUGUUCUAGCAGCUGCAGAAUUUUAAAUCUUAUUGUUGUUUUUCUCUUGUGGAGUUUAUUUGGUGGCCGAGGGCCACAUCUGGAAGAAGAUGCUUGACCUCUUGGUGGUGAAGCAUGAUUGUGCUUGAUCUGUUAGGGGGAGGGGCUGCCAGUUUUAUUCCUUUCAUGUCUUACAUACAUACAUGAUUUUAUGUAUAUAUUUAUAUCUAGUACCAUCAGUGAGAGAAAACAUGGUAUCUGUCUUUCUGUGACUGGGCUUAAUUAGUCAAUACAAUUAUCCCCAGUUGUAUCUAUUUCCCCAUAAACAAUGCAAUUUUAUCUUUACACCUGAAAAAAAAUAGCUGUGCACCUAUACCCUAUUAUGUUUAUCUGUUCACUGUCGGAAUGUCAUUUUCACUUCCUGGCUAUCCUUGGAAAGACUAUUACAGACGCUGGUCCAUCAGUGCAUAGUUAUUUUACAGAUGGAGGCUCAGCUGUUGAUCAUACCCCUGGGCACUCUUUCAGGACCCAGUUAUGGGCGCUGGCCUGAGCUAGGUAACACUUGUGUGCCUUUGGAACCUGUGUCUGUUUCUCUUGACCCCCUGGCAUGGUUUUGUUUUCAGGUUUCUUCCUGAUGGCUGGCUGAACAGUAUUCUGUAGGCCAGGUUUUAGUAUACAGUCGUCUGAUACUUGCUCCACAUUUCCUCACAAUAAAGUUCACAGAGGGUCCCAGGCUGCUAAGCUGCAGUCAUAGCAAGGGUCAUUUUGAAAUGGCCUCCCAUGGUUGCUAUGGUCUUAAAGAGUACCAAGCAGAGAGUUUUCCCAGCAUUCUGUUCUGCUCACACUUCUGUUGCAAACACAUCUUAUGCUUGGUUCUUCUGUCGUUUUCUGCUCCUUUAACUGCCCAUUAAUGGAAGUAUAAUCAGACUUUGUGAGCGUGUUCCUGCUAGCUGUUGUUGACGCUGCCUCUCCUUGGGAGUGGAAAGCAACUCAAACUCAGCCAGGCCCUCUGGAAAGGAAAGUGAGACUUUCUUGCUUUGUAUCAGUCCCUAUUUUAUUGUAUUUUUUAAGCUAAAGUUGUUUGGAUGUCAUCCACUUCUGAUAGCUUUUAUCCAAAUUUCCCCAUGUAUUCCUUGGACACUGUGGUAGACAAUAGCUGGUUGUUAUUUGCCAUUUACCAGUAUUGCCUUUUUAAAUUUUAAAAACUAUUAAUACAUAUGCAUAUAUGUAUAAACUUACAUUUGUUCACAACAACAACACAGCUAUUUCUCAUCAUAAAAAUAACCUAUUCUUUAAGUUCAACACACACAUAUAUGUGUAUGGAACUACCUUUAUUGUUUAUGCAAUAAUGCUUUAGAUAAUCAGAUAGAUAUGGUUAUGCCAUCUAGAAUAAACUACCUAUAAGAUUUAUAUUUAAUUAUCUUUAUUUAUAAAUCACCAUCCUAAUAAUUGUAAUUCCAUGUAUACCUUGGCCAUGGCCAAGAGUAUAACCACUCAUGACUGAAGCUGUUCACUGAAAAUGGGAGAGGAGGAAAGGUCAAAUGCUGUCAAACUUCUGGCUAUGAUUGUGAAGGUUCCAACGCCAAUUUUUGGAGGUAGAAUCCACCCUGAAUGGAAUUCAAAUUAGAAGGAAAAUGUCCACUGAAGAAAAAGCAAGAGGAAACCUCAUAGUGAGCAGAUUCUUUUGCACACCAAGGUGGUCCAAGAAAAUCCCUUGGUGGGAAGCCAUCCUAGGGGAGGGGAAGAGAAAGGAGGACCCCAUCUCAUCCAAAGGAUCCUUUGAUCUAGUGGAAGUCAUGAACCAGAGAUGGGGUGAAGAGCUGAGUUGGAAGAACAAGGCCAGGACCAGAUGCUUUAUCUCAGCAGGGGUCUGGCAGUCAGGCACAUGUGACAACCUACUUCACCCUAGUUAUCACUGCUACUGGAUUCCUCUUCUGAAGACACUGGCUCAUGACUUUAUCCAGAGGAGGCCUAGAAAUGCUGCCAGAAUUAAAAUACAGCAUGCUGUUUUUUUUUUUUCCCUAGAGUAGAGUUGGAAGGGGAUGUGAUUGUUGUGGAGGAGGGCUCAUCAUCUGACUUUGUUCCUGUGGAGGUAAUUGUCAGUAGGUACUGCUUGAGGAAGAGGAUGUGACUGAGCUUUGUGACAGUCCACCAUCACAGGUGGACUCUCCUUCAUUGUUAAUCUGAUGAUGCAGAGCAUCCUCUAGUAUGCUUUCUUCUCUCUUCCUUUUCCCUCCUUUAUUGCCCUUCACCCUUCUUCCCCUUAGCUUCUUCCCCUUCUCUCCUUCACUUCUCUUUUCCUUUGUCUUCCUCCUUCUCUGAAUUCUCUUUCCUCUCAUUCUUAUUUUUAUUUAUUGUUGACUUCUAUUUUUCUGGUUCAGACGGGUUUCACCUUGUAGUCUAGACUGGCCUAGAACUCUUAAGUGACCACCCUGGGGUAGCAGGCCCUCAGUCUUGAGAUAAAAGAGUGAGUUAACAUGACUGGCUUACUGCAUCUUCUUGUAGAAGUUUUCCCUGGCUCUCUUAACAAUGGUGAUUGCUGUUCACAUUAUUGUGCAUUAAUUCUGCAGGCCAUUCUUCACUGAUCUGAAAUAUCCUGGGGAUCAUUGUGGCUUAAGCUGCUGGCAAUCUGGGUGCUUUGUUUGGGAAAUCUGCUAUAAACAGAGUCUUUUUAAAGACCAGCCAUUCAUUCUGUAUGGAAUGUUCAGACAUCUUGUAGUCCUUUCUCUGGAAAAAGUAGUUCAUCACCUUUCAAUGUGGACCUCCCAGCUUCUUUUAGCUUGUCUCCAAAUGUUUUGCUUCUGUCGACUCCUUUCCAGGAUGAUAUAGGUGUGCAUUUUUUUCCAGUGUCCAGAAAACUGCAGAG